CCUACGGGUGGCAGCAGUGGGGGAUAUUGCACAAUGGGGGGAACCCUGAUGCAGCGACGCCGCGUGGGUGAAGAAGCGCCUCGGCGCGUAAAGCUCUGUCAGCAGGGAAGAAAAUGACGGUACCUGAAGAAGAAGCCCCGGCUAACUACGUGCCAGCAGCCGCGGUAAUACGUAGGGGGCAAGCGUUAUCCGGAUUUACUGGGUGUAAAGGGGGCGUAGACGGCGGCACAAGCCAGGAGUGAAAGCCCGGGGCUUAACCCCGGGACUGCUUUGGAAACUGGGUGGCUGGAGUGCAGGAGGGGCAGGCGGAAUUCCUGGUGUAGCGGUGAAAUGCGUAGAUAUCAGGAGGAACACCGGUGGCGAAGGCGGCCUACUGGACUGCAACUGACGUUGAGGCCCGAAAGCGUGGGGAGCAAACAGGAUUAGAUACCCCUGUAGUC
rnacentral:rRNA from 1 species